rnacentral:rRNA from 1 species
CCCUUAGAUGUUCUGGGCCGCACGCGCGCUACACUGACGGAGUCAACGAGUUGUCCUGCAUCGGAAGGUGUGGGUAAUCUUUUGAAACUUCGUCGUGCUGGGGAUAGAUCUUUGCAAUUUUCGAUCUUGAACGAGGAAUUCCUAGUAAGCGUGAUUCAUCAGAUCGCGUUGAUUACGUCCCUGCCCUUUGUGCACACCGCCCGUCGUUACUACCGAUUGAAUGGUUUAGUGAGGCCUCGGGACUGGCGCGCUCGAGUAGCAAUACACCUGCGCGCCGGGAACUUGGUCAAACUUGAUCAUUUAGAGGAAGUAAAAGUCGUAACA